AAGAGUUUGAUCCUGGCUCAGGACGAACGCUGGCGGCGUGCCUAACACAUGCAAGUCGAACGGAGAAUUUCAAAGAGUUUACUUAGAGAAAUUUUUAGUGGCGUAACGCGUGGGUAACCUACCCAUAAACCCGGGACAACCCUUGGAAACGAGGGCUAAUACCGGAUAAUCUUUGAGAGUGGCAUCACUCUUAAAGAAAAGGUGGCCUCUGUAUAUGCUACCGAUUAUGGAUGGACCCGCGUCUGAUUAGCUAGUUGGUGGGGUAAAGGCCUACCAAAGCGACGAUGGGUAGCCGGCCUGAGAGGGUGACCGGCCACACUGGAACUGAGAUACGGUCCAGACUCCUACGGGAGGCAGCAGUGGGGAAUCUUCCGCAAUGGACGAAAGUCUGACGGAGCAACGCCGCGUGUAUGAUGAAGGUCUUCGGAUUGUAAAGUACUGUGAUAUUGGACGAACAGUUUUCCUGUAAAUAAUGGGAAGAAAUGACGGUACAAUAAGAGGAAGCCACGGCUAACUACGUGCCAGCAGCCGCGGUAAUACGUAGGUGGCAAACGUUGUCCGGAAUUACUGGGCGUAAAGCGAGUAGGUGGUUUGCUAAGUCAAGAGUGAAAACUCCAGGCUCAACUUGGAGACUGCUCUACGAAACUGGUAGACUUGAGUGCAAGAGAGGGAAGUGGAAUUCCUAGUGUAGCGGUGAAAUGCGUAGAUAUUAGGAGGAACACCAGUGGCGAAGGCGACUUCCUGGCUUGUAACUGACACUGAGGCGCGAAAGCGUGGGGAUCAAACAGGAUUAGAUACCCUGGUAGUCCACGCCGUAAACGAUGAGUGCUAGGUGUUGGAGAAAUUUGACCCCUGCAGUGCCGAAGCUAACGCAUUAAGUACCCCGCCUGGGGAGUACGGUCGCAAGACUAAAACUCAAAGGAAUUGACGGGGGCCCGCACAAGCGGUGGAGCAUGGUUUAAUUCGACGCAACGCGAAGAACCUUACCAAGGCUUGACAUCCCGUGACAGCUAUGGAAACAUAGUCUUUCGCCUUCGGGUGAACACGGAGACAGGUGGUGCAUGGUUGUCGUCAGCUCGUGUCGUGAGAUGUUGGGUUAAGUCCCGCAACGAGCGCAACCCCUGUGUUUAGUUGCUAACGUUUAAGGCGAGCACUCUAGACAAGACUGCCGGAGACAAUUCGGAGGAAGGUGGGGAUGACGUCAAAUCAUCAUGCCCCUUAUGUCUUGGGCUACACACGUGCUACAAUGGCUGAAACAAAGGGAUGCAACAACGUAAGUUGAAGCGGAUCUCACAAAAACAGGUCCCAGUUCGGAUUGUAGGCUGCAACUCGACUUCAUGAAGUCGGAAUCGCUAGUAAUCGCGAAUCAGAACGUCGCGGUGAAUACGUUCUCGGGGUUUGUACACACCGCCCGUCAAACCACGAAAGUCGGCAACACCCGAAGCCGGUGACUCAACCCGAAAGGGAGAGAGCCGUCGAAGGUGGGGUUGGUAAUUGGGGUGAAGUCGUAACAAGGUAACC
rnacentral:rRNA from 1 species